CUGGCCCCGGAACCCACAGCGGCAGGCAGCUGGGGGUGGGGGGGCGGCCCUGGUGUAGGGGCUGUGGCGGUGCCCGGGGACCCGGUGCGGUGGUUGUGGAGCUGACAAGAAACUACUGAAGUUCCUGUGGACGCAAAGUAGAAUUUCAAAAGAACAUGAUGGAUGGAGAAGAGAAAACCUAUGGUGGCUGUGCGGGCCGUGAUGCCAUGUAUGUCAAGUUGAUAUCUUCAGAUGGUCAUGAAUUUAUUGUAAAGAGAGAACACGCGCUAACAUCAGGAACAAUAAAAGCCAUGUUGAGUGGCCCAGGUCAGUUUGCUGAGAAUGAAACUAAUGAAGUCAGUUUUAGAGAGAUCCCUUCACAUGUGCUAUCGAAAGUAUGCAUGUAUUUUACCUACAAGGUUCACUACACUAACAGCUUCACGGAGAUUCCUGAAUUCCCAAUUGCACCUGAAAUUGCACUGGAACUGCUGAUGGCUGCAAACUUCCUAGAUUGUUAAAUAAAAUAAAUUAUAAUAAACUGUUAACUCUUUUUCAGUAUUUAAUACCUGUAGUUCAGUUACUACUUUUUUCAUAUAUAGCAUGUUGCCUAUGUGCAGCUGAACUUUAAAGUUCAUUGCAAAAAAAAAAAAAAAUUCAUUGCAAAGCAGAUUAUCUUCUGUUCUUUUGCAUAGCAAUCAGAGUUGAAGUUUGUUUGCUACAUCAACAAAUUAAGGACAUUUUCACAAAUUGAGAAAUAAACAAAUAUACCAA